rnacentral:rRNA from 1 species
AUUGAACGCUGGCGGAAUGCUUUACACAUGCAAGUCGAACGGCAGCACGGGGGCAACCCUGGUGGCGAGUGGCGAACGGGUGAGUAAUACAUCGGAACGUGCCCAGUCGUGGGGGAUAACGUAGCGAAAGCUACGCUAAUACCGCAUACGAUCUACGGAUGAAAGCGGGGGAUCGCAAGACCUCGCGCGAUUGGAGCGGCCGAUGGCAGAUUAGGUAGUUGGUGGGGUAAAGGCUCACCAAGCCUUCGAUCUGUAGCUGGUCUGAGAGGACGACCAGCCACACUGGGACUGAGACACGGCCCAGACUCCUACGGGAGGCAGCAGUGGGGAAUUUUGGACAAUGGGCGAAAGCCUGAUCCAGCCAUUCCGCGUGCAGGAUGAAGGCCCUCGGGUUGUAAACUGCUUUUGUACGGAACGAAACGGCCUUUUCUAAUACAGAGGGCUAAUGACGGUACCGUAAGAAUAAGCACCGGCUAACUACGUGCCAGCAGCCG